rnacentral:rRNA from 1 species
UACAGAGGGUGCGAGCGUUGUCCGGAAUCACUGGGCGUAAAGGGCGCGUAGGUGGUUGGGUAAGCGUGUGGUGAAAGCCCGGGGCUCAACCCCGGGUCGGCCAUGCGAACUGCCCGACUGGAGCACGGUAGAGGCCAAUGGAAUUCCGGGUGUAGCGGUGGAAUGCGUAGAGAUCCGGAAGAACACCGGUGGCGAAGGCGGUUGGCUGGGCCGUGGCUGACACUGAGGCGCGACAGCGUGGGGAGCAAACGGG